GGAGAAACAGAGGCAGAAGGAGGGGGGCCCAGGGGCUCAUAAAGCUGAGGGUCAGAAGGCGUUGUUGUGGCCCUGUCUGAACAUCAGCCUCAAAUAGAUGCAGUGCCUCUGAGAACUGUGAAGAUCCUACCAUGCUGUGUCCUCGGGGAAGAUGCACAGCAUCUCUACAGCUGACGGAAUCCAGAAGAUCCUUGCAGCCAUGAAUGGAUCCACUAGAUCAGUGAAUGGAUCCACUAGAGGGAGAAUCCAUUGGAUGGAUCCACUGGUGCUGCCGGAGUCUUCCCUAGGCCGUGCAGUGUGGUGAGAAGAGCUCUGGUCUUGGGCGUCAGAAGGUCUGGGCUUGAGUCCUGGCUCUGCUCACCCUGUGCCAUCACCUUCCCCUCUGGGCCUCAGUUUCCCGGUCUGUGGCAUGGGGCAGUGGUGCUGCACACCAGGCUGUUGCUGCCUCAGGGUAUCAGACACCACAAGUGGGGUAUGGGUGGCACGUAGUAGGUGCCUGACUCCUGCCUAGAAAUCUCGGGGGAACAGCUGUGCGUGUUCUCGGGGGUGCAGCGAGGGUGUUCUGCAGACGGUCGCCAGGCUGAGGGCCAGGCAAGGUGGCAGUUGGAGGACUAAUGACAGCGCCAACGAGUCGCAGCCUGCUCGGCACUUUCAUGUAGAGGGAGCCCCAGGCUUCUCCAGCCACUGCCCUCAGCCAGGCCCUGACCCAGCUGCGCCCUAAUCACACGCCUCCGUCAGAAGCCACCUUUCAUCCAGCAUCAGGUGGAGCUUAAUAACCAUCCUCUGCGGCCUUCACCCACCCGGCCUGCGGUUGAUCAGCCACAUUAUUAACCUUGAUAUUCUCUGCCCUGGAGGCAGGAUCAUGGUACCACAAGAGCUAAGGGACCAGUGUGGAUCCGAAGCCACUUAGCAAAGGCCUCCUGACUGCACAGCAUGCUGGGGAAAGGGCACAGCCUGGCUUUCCCCUGGAGGUGUGAACAGGGGCAGCUUCACAUUAUUCCUUCUCUGGGCCUCAGUUUGCCCAAUCUGUACAGUGGGGGACCUGGGUUAUCAUCGGUUUUCUACAGUGCGCCGUUUAUUCUCAUGAGUGUUUAUUCUCAGGGAGUUGUUCAUCUACUACGGUAGGAAAGAGUGCAUCCUCCAUCCUCUGUGUCCCCACGGAUAACUGGCCAAAGUCACCUGUGUAUUAAAGGCUCUGGAGAAGUCCUUCACCACGAUCUUGUGUGCAGCUGUGUUUAAGCCGCUCUAUGUCCGAAGUGGGACAGAUGUGUGAAGUCCUCGGGACUCUGAUUUUGAGAUGCUCAGAAUUUGUCCAAGCCUCCUCUCCGCAUGACCAGGCUGAGGUUUCACACGAGCCUCCUUACGGGCCAGAAAUCCUCCAAAACCUUCCCGGGGAUGUUUCUGCACUGAGGCCCGCCCGGGACGGUGGGUGAUCAGUUCCCACAGGAAGUCUGCUCCCGAAGGGCUCCGCCCCGAACAUAAUCUCAGAUUCUUCCACAUCUGAUAACCGCUUCCCUUUCACAAACCACGAAGGCCGCGGGCUCUUAUAUGAAAAAUGAUGGCAGGUGGAUACAUUUGGAAUUAGAAACAAUUCAAUAGCCUUUAAAAAAUGCUUUGCCUGCAGGGCUUUUCGGAGACUUUAAUAUGCUAAUGUUUAAUAGGUCUCUAAGAGAGGACUGAUGAGAUUUCGAUACUGAUCGCAGAACAUUUUUCUUGCCGAGACACUAGUUUAAUUGAUGUUAAUUUUUGGAAACUCCGCCUUCCCAGGUUGAUUUGAUCUCUAAGGCCUUCAUUUCUUGUCUUUAUCUCUCUCGGGCACCAAUAAGAAAGAUAGCUGAGGGAAGAGACCAGCCUUGGAAUAUUGCUGUCUGUGCUUCAAAGGGCUAUUUAUUCCCAAAACCACUUAA